AAUAUCCAUCUUUCCUUUCUUCCUUCAUAAUAGAACACGGCUCUUGGUUUGGUUACCCGUCUCUCUAUCACGGGACUUAGAGGAAGCUGACCUCAUCCCCAACUCAUAGAGCCGUGCACGCCCUGUAUGGUCCCUGGUCAGUCGCAUUCUCCAUUCCAGCCAUGCUGCUGCACCCCUCAUCCCAAUGAGAGGCUUCCCCAGGUCCUGGAGCCUCCUUCAGCUAGUCCUCUGGCCCUCUCAGCAGAAUACACAGAAAACUGUCCCACAAUAUCCAAAGUCAUGUAAGUGCACAGUGAUUGAAGAUAACCAUGGAUCCACACUUCUGCCAUGAAGAAAAUCAUAAAGUCAGAACCGCACUCCACCCCAACUGUGUGAGAAUAGCCCAGGUAGGUCUGCAGAAGUUUCACCAUUCCACAUGGCAAACUUUCUCCAAGGCAGCUGCCUACAUCAGUUCUGGGGCUCAGAACAAUUCAGGCAGUGGGCAGAAGCCGGGAGGUUAAUGCUUUGAUGUUACUUGGUACAGGUCCCAGUUCCUUGGAAUUCCUGAUUCAUUGAAAUCAGAAGAUUUAAAGUAUAGUCUAUCCUGGAGAAAGAAGACAGCCCCAGUGCUCUGUAGACCUGAAAACAGUAGCACAGAAGACAGAGAGUGCUGCGCUCUCAUCAGGCAAGCAUGAGGGGUGGGAGAGCAA